UUAUAAAUAAAAAAAAUUUUAUAUUAUCUGAAAUUAAUUAAAUUCAUGUUAUUAAAAUAAAAUUUUAUUAUAAAUACUUUUGAAUAAAAGGGAAUUAUAAUUUAUAUUUAUAA
rnacentral:rRNA from 1 species